rnacentral:lncRNA from 10 species
CUACUUUCCUUACAGGAGAAAAAAAAUUAGCUGGGCAUGGUGGCACGUGCCUGUAAUCCCAGCUACUUGGGAGGCUGCAGCAGGGGAAUUGCUUGAACCCGGAAGGUGGAGGUUGCAGUGAGCUGAGAUUGCGCCACUGCACUCCAGCCUGGCGACAGAGCAAGACUCUGUCCCCCCUACCAAAAAAAAAUAAAAAAUAAAAAAAAAAAGAAAGAAAUUGCCCGAAGUUACAGGUCAUCACUCACUGAAUUGUGAACAGUUUAAGAGACGUGCCCAAGUGCUCACCCUCCUCAGUUCGGAGGAGCUAUUACGUUGGUGCAAAAGUCAUUACAGAACCGAGGCCAGGCCACGCACACGAAGCCUUUAUCUGUGGGCGCACAGGUUGGGGCCUCAUGACAAACUCUAAAGGCUUUAGACCGUCUCGUUAUCUUUUCAACACAUCCACCAUCAAUACAUAAUAGUGCAUACCUGCAAAUACAUGUCUUGGAAUUUAAUUAAGGUCAACCUAAGCUUCUAGUUUUUUGUUUUAUUUAUUUUCUUUUUAUUUUUCAUUCUAAGCUUCUAAACACAUAAAAUGAGUAGCCCUUUUCCACAGAAAAUAUCAGAGCUAAUAAUUUGGAUAUUUCUUCUAGAUUCGAUACAAAACCAAUGAACCUGUGUGGGAGGAAAACUUCACUUUCUUCAUUCACAAUCCCAAGCGCCAGGACCUUGAAGUUGAGGUCAGAGACGAGCAGCACCAGUGUUCCCUGGGGAACCUGAAGGUCCCCCUCAGCCAGCUGCUCACCAGUGAGGACAUGACUGUGAGCCAGCGCUUCCAGCUCAGUAACUCGGGUCCAAACAGCACCAUCAAGAUGAAGAUUGCCCUGCGGGUAUCGUGUCGUCCUGCAGUGAACACCAUAGGGGAUGGGGAGGCGGGUGCUGGCAGGGAUACUCAUGGGCCCCGGGCAUGAGGCCGGUGAAGAAAGCUCUGUGUCGGCUGCAGCUCUGGGCCGCAGGAGGGCGCCGGUGCAGGGAGGAGAUAUUGUUGCUGGGUAUCAGAGGGUUCCGGGGAGAAGACAAAGGCUGGGACUCAGCCAUAGAACAGGCCACGUUUCCAGGUUGCCCGAGCAGGCCCACGGCUACUCAAACAGUGCUUUCCUGUGAACCCAGCAACCUUACCGUUAUCCUUUGGCCCAGAAAGUGUUACUGUUGGUAUCAACAAGGUUUUCUCCUAAGUCUUAACUUUUCAAAGGUUGUUCAGAAGAGAGAAUUUAAUAAAACUCCACGAGACAGUAGAACUUACAGG